rnacentral:tRNA from 1 species
UCUUCUGUGGCGCAAAGGACAGCCCGUUCGACUGUUAACCGAAAGGGUGGUGGUUCCACUCCACUCGGGAGGG